ACAUAAAUUCAGAAAGGGAAGUUUGAAGUUCUAGUUGAUUAUGGGGAAUCCCAGAGCCUAUUAGAGUGACUGUACUUUUUCUUUUUAUGCUGCCACAGGAAGAGACUGAUGACUGUGGUUUACCUAUGAUGCAUGUCACUUCUCUCUUCCUGUUCUAAUCCCAUUACCUGCCCUGAAGGAUAGUGAGGGAAAUCCUCCCCUCUUCAGCCUGGCAGCUGGUGAACCCCAUCCUUUGCAUCCCUCUUCUCCUUACACUGACACAGAGAGUGGGUCCUUACCUGGCAUCUGCAGAUUCCCCUCAGGUGGCUGCAAUUCAGACAUUCCUUGUGUGCACCCAGCUGAAAUCCUUCUGCACCAUCAGCAAAGCCUGGUUUUCACUCUGAGUGUUCAUUCUAGGCAGAUACUGUACAGAAAGGAAAGUGGAACUUGUAGUUUGUGUCUGGCAAACACCUAAAUAUCAAAGCAUUGGUAAAGGCAAUAAAUAAGUGCUUGGGAGAUAAUA